GGAGAAGAGUGAUGGGGAGACCCCUGCACUGGGAUAAAGCAGAGGGAUGUGUCAGCCCUGAGGGCAGAGAGCUCUGUUCACAUGCUGCUCACAGAGAGCUUUUCUGUUCAGCAGCAUGGGCAUGAACUCAGCACUAAGCCAUUUCCCAGCAAUGGAACCAGCAUCCUUGCAGCCUUACAACCAUCCCAGGACAGACAAUGUCGGUGAGAUUUACUUUUCCCCUUCUCACCCCCUCCCCCACUUCAGACUCCAGUUGGUAUGUCUCAUUUAUUUACUGCCUUUUGUCAUAACCUAGACCCAGAGCCUGCAAAGACUUUGGCAUAAAAGUAACUUUACUCACUCCAUCUUCUUCUACCCCCUCCCUCUUCCACCCACUCUCACCACCCCCACCCCAUUCCCAGCCCUCUCCGGAACAUGCCUUGUGCCUGCAGCUGCUGGGGAGGAGGCUCUUGUUCCUCCAGGAACUGCCGCAGUUGCUGAAAUUCAGACAUAAUCUUCUGCCUCUUGGUUUGUGUAUUUCUCUGUGAAGGAAAAUAGGGAAAGGACUGGGACACAUGUUUCUACUGAAGCUGGAACUCAAAACAGUAAACAAAGAUUGCACAAGAGGAUUCCUCAAGAUAUAAUUGAACAUCCCCCAAACUCUGAGCUAAGAGAAGAUUGAAAACUGUGAAACUGAGGAGAGAACAAAGUAACCCAGCAUGUAGCAGCUUCAUGAGGUCGGGAGCCCUGCCUGCUUUUCCUGAUCCCACAUGGCCCCCAGGACUCCCUAGGGAAAGGCAUCUCCCAGCAAUGGAACCAACAUCCUUGCAGCCUCACGACCAUCCCAGGACAGACAAUCUAGUCUUCAAAUGGGCCUGGAUUCUUUCCUGAAGAAACAGAAAUGAUUUAGGAGGUUUCAUCUGGAUAGUUGAGAGGUGCUUGGAAGUGGGUGUUUUUCCACCCAAAACCCAGGACGACUGUGGUUCUAAUCGCUUUGUGACAUCAGGGCCACUAAGGAGAUGAAACCUCAUUAAUGGAGACUGGGAGCAUGUUCUAUUCUGACUUGUUACCAAUUCCGGUUCAGUCUUUUUAGUAAUUAGAGAGAGAUCUCAAUUAUAACCAAGCUUUACAGGUAUUUGUGAACUGAUUAGUGGCACAGCACAUAACAGGACACAUGGGGGUGAAUCAAUAAACCAGUUUUGUAGAAGGUUUAACAAACCGAAGCCACCAGGGUUUAAAUAGGGGCUGGGAUUUCAGCCCUGAAGCCCUGGGGACUGCACUGGUUGGACAGAGCUGGUUUAAGCACCAGGGCAAAUCCCAUGAGACGUCAGGAGGCCAUUCGUCUGAUUAGAAGCUGCACAGUCCAGUUUUGUGGAGAACUGUCCCUAUCUGGCAGGGACCCAGAACUGGACGUGGCUUUGUGUGGUGCAAAAGGGAGAGGAGGAGACUGAGGCUGCAGGAGGACACCCGUGAGGGUGGGGGCAGGGCUGGGGUGGCACCUUCAUGCAGAAUGAUGCAGGCGGGGACACUGAAAAAAACGGUGGUGGGGUCCACACAGUGUGACUGAUACUGGCGAGGACGGGUUCAUGCAGGCAGGCGUGGCCAUGUCCUAUGUUCUGGGGAUUCCUUGGUGACCUCCCUAAUUAGACAUGAUGCAGAUUUGUAUAAAGGAUGGGUUGGGGUUUGCCCCAGUGCUGUCCUAACCCCUUUCCGUGGCAAUGCCCCCUGGGCAGGUACCCCACGGUCCCAUUCCCUGGUAAAGAUCCCAGAAGCAGUGCAUUCUGGGAGAUUUCAAAAGGCUGCCUGGUGGGACUAAUGGAACCACUCUGGCUGGUCCCUGCCCAGGUACACAACAGAGCAGGUCAAACUGGCACCGGUCAGCUCCAGCCUGGGGUUGGUUUUGCUACAACCAGUGUAAUCCCAGUGGUACUUGGCAUGGACCUGAGCUGUCUGGAGCCCUUUUGUGUGCGGACUGAAGGUGCUCAGGGUCCCACACAGUGUUUAGCCCAGUGAUCUCCUCUAGUGCAGGCCAUCAGGAGUUUAACCCCUCAUGGAGCAACACAGGAGUUCAGAAUCCCAGCGAGAAACCUCCUCUCCCUGGUGGGCCUGGGACCUUUAUCAAGGCGUCUCUCCCUCCUAACGGACACAAUUCAUCACUGGGUGGGGUGAUGUGAAGAUGGCAGCAUGGCAAAGUGGUUCAGGUUUUGGUCUGAGGAGAUCUGUGUUCUUUGCUAAUUUCUGUCACUGACAUGCUGGGUGACUGUGGGCAACUCGCUGCCCCACUUUGUGCCUCAGUUUCCCUUCCCACCUUUUGUCUAGCUAGACCAGCGAUCACCUACCGGUUGAUUGCGAUCUACCAGUCGAUCCUGGAGACUUUCCCUGUCGAUCGCAAUCUCCGGUGGCACAGCGGGGUUGCCUGUCUGCCCCAGCCAUACGGCAUUCCCUGCACUGCCUGCAGUCACCGCCCCCGCAGCUCCCAUUGGCCGGGAAAGGGGAACUGUGGCCAGUGAGAGCUGUGGGAGCGGUGCCUGCAGAGAGGGGCAUCACACAGACCCACAUGCCUCCCCUGGGGCCACAGGGGCACCUUGGCCCCUUCUGGGAGUGGCGAAGGGCUGGGGCAGGCAGGGAGCCUGUGUUAGCCUCGCUGCACCACUGACCAGG